AGAGUUUGAUCCUGGCUCAGGAUGAACGCUGGCGGCGUGCCUAACCCAUGCAAGUCGAACGAUCCCGCAAGGGAGAGUGGCGGAAAGGUGAGUAACACGUAGAAAUCUACCUCGCCGGAGGGAACAACCCUUCGAAAGAGGGGCUAAUACCCAAAAGGAUCCGCAAGGAUCAGAGUCCGCAAGGGCCUGGCGAGAGGAGUCUGCGGCCCAUCAGCUAGUUGGUGAGGUAAUGGCUUACCAAGGCUACGACGGGUAGGGGGUCUGAGAGGAUGAUCCCCCACACUGGAACUGAAACACGGUCCAGACGCCUACGGGUGGCAGCAGGGAGGAAUAUUGGACAAUGGGGGAAACCCCGAUCCAGCAACGCCGCGUGAGGGAUGAAGGCCUUCGGGUUGUAAACCUCUUUUCAGGGAGACGAGCAAGGACGGUAUCCCUGGAAUAAGUCACGGCUAACUACGUGCCAGCAGCCGCGGUAAUACGUAGGUGGCGAGCGUUAUCCGGAUUUACUGGGCGUAAAGCGCUUGUAGGCGGCCUUGUAAGUUGGGCGUGAAAGCUCCGGGCUUAACCCGGAGAGGCCGUCCAAUACUGCAGGGCUAGAGGAUGUCAGAGGAAGGUGGAAUUCCUGGUGUAGUGGUGAAAUGCGUAGAUAUCAGGAGGAACACCCGUGGCGAAGGCGGCCUUCUGGGGCAUUCCUGACGCUGAGAAGCGAAAGCUAGGGGAGCAAACAGGAUUAGAAACCCUGCUAGUCUAGCGUAACGAUGGAUGCUAGUGUGGCGGAUUUACCCCGUCAGUGCCGAAGCUAACGGCG
rnacentral:rRNA from 1 species